rnacentral:rRNA from 1 species
GACGGACGCUGGCGGCGUGCCUAAUACAUGCAAGUAGAACGCUGAAGGAGGAGCUUGCUCUUCUGGAUGAGUUGCGAACGGGUGAGUAACGCGUAGGUAACCUGCCUGGUAGCGGGGGAUAACUAUUGGAAACGAUAGCUAAUACCGCAUAACAGUAGAUGUUGCAUGACAUUUACUUAAAAGGUGCAAUUGCAUCACUACCAGAUGGACCUGCGUUGUAUUAGCUAGUUGGUGGGGUAACGGCUCACCAAGGCGACGAUACAUAGCCGACCUGAGAGGGUGAUCGGCCACACUGAGACUGAGACACGGCCCAGACUCCUACGGGAGGCAGCAGUAGGGAAUCUUCGGCAAUGGACGGAAGUCUGACCGAGCAACGCCGCGUGAGUGAAGAAGGUUUUCGGAUCGUAAAGCUCUGUUGUAAGAGAAGAACGAGUGUGAGAGUGGAAAGUUCACACUGUGACGGUAUCUUACCAGAAAGGGACGGCUAACUACGUG